CAGCGACGCCGCGUGGUGGAAGAAGCCCUUCGGGGUGUAAACACCUGUCAGGGGGGAAGAUGAUGACGGUACCCCCAGAGGAAGGGACGGCUAACUACGUG
rnacentral:rRNA from 1 species